rnacentral:snRNA from 1 species
AUCGCUUCUCGGCCUUUUGGCUAAGAUCAAGUGUAGUAUCUGUUCUUAUCAGUUUAAUAUCAGGGUUCAUAAGUUCCAGCCCUGCAUCGGGCUCCGUGCUGACAAUGCAGAGCCUGCUUGGGAUUCUCU